UAGCUGUAGAUAAUCCAGUAGGAGACCAAAGGGUAGCUGUAGAUAAUCCAGUAGGAGACCAAAGGGUAGCUGUAGAUAAUCCAGUAGGAGACCAAAGGGUAGCUGUAGAUAAUCCAGUAGGAGACCAAAGGGUAGCUGUAGAUAAUCCAGUAGGAGACCAAAGGGUAGCUGUAGAUAAUCCAGUAGGAGACCAAAGGGUAGCUGUAGAUAAUCCAGUAGGAGACCAAAGGGUAGCUGUAGAUAAUCCAGUAGGAGACCAAAGGGUAGCUGUAGAUAAUCCAGUAGGAGACCAAAGGGUAGCUGUAGAUAAUCCAGUAGGAGACCAAAGGGUAGCUGUAGAUAAUCCAGUAGGAGACCAAAGGGUAGCUGUAGAUAAUCCAGUAGGAGACCAAAGGGUAGCUGUAGAUAAUCCAGUAGGAGACCAAAGGGUAGCUGUAGAUAAUCCAGUAGGAGACCAAAGGGUAGCUGUAGAUAAUCCAGUAGGAGACCAAAGGGUAGCUGUAGAUAAUCCAGUAGGAGACCAAAGGGUAGCUGUAGAUAAUCCAGUAGGAGACCAAAGGGUAGCUGUAGAUAAUCCAGUAGGAGACCAAAGGGUAGCUGUAGAUAAUCCAGUAGGAGACCAAAGGGUAGCUGUAGAUAAUCCAGUAGGAGACCAAAGGGUAGCUGUAGAUAAUCCAGUAGGAGACCAAAGGGUAGCUGUAGAUAAUCCAGUAGGAGACCAAAGGGUAGCUGUAGAUAAUCCAGUAGGAGACCAAAGGGUAGCUGUAGAUAAUCCAGUAGGAGACCAAAGGGUAGCUGUAGAUAAUCCAGUAGGAGACCAAAGGGUAGCU